rnacentral:rRNA from 1 species
CCUACGGGAGGCAGCAGUAGGGAAUCUUCGGCAAUGGACGGAAGUCUGACCGAGCAACGCCGCGUGAGUGAAGAAGGUUUUCGGAUCGUAAAGCUCUGUUGUAAGAGAAGAACGAGUGUGAGAGUGGAAAGUUCACACUGUGACGGUAUCUUACCAGAAAGGGACGGCUAACUACGUGCCAGCAGCCGCGGUAAUACGUAGGUCCCGAGCGUUGUCCGGAUUUAUUGGGCGUAAAGCGAGCGCAGGCGGUUAGAUAAGUCUGAAGUUAAAGGCUGUGGCUUAACCAUAGUAUGCUUUGGAAACUGUUUAACUUGAGUGCAGAAGGGGAGAGUGGAAUUCCAUGUGUAGCGGUGAAAUGCGUAGAUAUAUGGAGGAACACCGGUGGCGAAAGCGGCUCUCUGGCUUGUAACUGACGCUGAGGCUCGAAAGCGUGGGGAGCAAACAGGAUUAGAUACCCUGGUAGUCCACGCCGUAAACGAUGAGUGCUAGGUGUUAGACCCUUUCCGGGGUUUAGUGCCGUAGCUAACGCAUUAAGCACUCCGCCUGGGGAGUACGACCGCAAGGUUGAAACUCAAAGGAAUUGACGG